UGGACAGUCUAUUUUUAUGUGAAAAAGUAUAAUAUUCUUCAAAAAAACUUAUUUCAAAUGUGAAAACUGUAGAUAUAAGCUGUUAAAGGGGAACCACUAAUGAUAUUGUUAUAUAUAAAAAAAAAAGAAGAUGUGGUAUGAUUGCCAAUCAGACAACUGUCCACAAGAGACAAAAAUAUGGGCUUCAACAAUGAGCAAAGCCAAUACUGCAUAGUCAGCUAUAAAAGGCCCCG
rnacentral:lncRNA from 1 species